UUGGGUGAACACUUGCACCCUGACUGGUUUGGAUUGUGGGUCCCCUUGUGCAUGUGCAUGCAUUAACAUGGUGUCAUGUCCUCUUUUGUCUUAGUAGCUGCUGGUAUCCUGGACUUAUUUCUAGCAACUUAACUGACGUGAAAAAAGGUAAAAGAUAACAGAGGAAACCAUAAAUCUUGAAGUGCCAAAUUUUGAAACCAUUGCUGGAUUGCAAAUGGGCCAAACCAUAGGGUACUUUUUUACAUUGCCCCUGCUUUUCUUUUCAAAUAGUUGCUUCAGAAUGAAAGAGAGUUGGUGGAGAUAUUUUUGUUACCCAAACCACUUUUUUAAUUUCUUUCUUUUUAUUAUGAUAAAGUAAAAACUUUAACAUCUCAAGUGGCGCAG